GACGAACGCUGGCGGCGUGCUUAACACAUGCAAGUCGAACGAAGUGGCGAACGGGUGAGUAACGCGUUAUCAACCUGCCCUUCAGAGGGGGACAACAGUUGGAAACGACUGCUAAUACCGCAUACUGAAGGAGGGGAUUGCGUUUGUUUAGCGAGUUGGAGGGGUAACGGCCCACCAAGGCGAUGAUCAGUAGCCGAUCGGAGAGGAGGAACGGCAACAUUGUGACUGAGACACGGCCCAGACUCCUACGGGAGGCAGCAGUGGGGAAUAUUGCACAAUGGGCGAAAGCAUGAUGCAGCCAGGCCGCGUGUAUGAAGAAGGCCUUCGGGUUGUAAAGUACGUUCAGCGAGGAUCGGUACUCGCAGAAGAAGCACCGGCUAACUACGUGCCAGCCGCCGCGGUAAUAC
rnacentral:rRNA from 1 species